rnacentral:rRNA from 1 species
GACGAAGGACCCGAGCGUUAUCCGGAUUCAUUGGGUUUAAAGGGUGCGUAGGCGGGCUGAUAAGUCAGUGGUGAAAGCCUGUUGCUUAACAACAGAACUGCCAUUGAUACUGUCGGUCUUGAAUAUGUUUGAUGUGGGCGGAAUAUGACAUGUAGCGGUGAAAUGCUUAGAUAUGUCAUAGAACACCGAUUGCGAAGGCAGCUCACAAAGCCAUUAUUGACGCUGAGGCUCGAAAGCGUGGGGAUCAAACAGG